rnacentral:rRNA from 1 species
CGAGCGGCACCCGGGACUUCCGUCUGGUGGCGAGUGGCGAACGGGUGACUAAUGUAUCGGAACGUGCCCCUUAGCGGGGGAUAACUACGCGAAAGCGUAGCUAAUACCGCAGACACACUACGGGGGAAAGCAUGGGAUCGCAUUACCUUGCCCUAUUGGAGCGGCCGAUGUCCGAUUAGCUAAUUGGUGGGGUAACGGCUCACCAGAGCAACAAUCCGUAUCUGGUUUGAAAGGACCACCAACCCCACUGGGACUGAGACACGGCCCAUACUCCUACGGGAGGCAACACUGGGGAAUUUUGGACCAUGGGGGAAACCCUGAUCCUACCGUCGCGCGUGUGCGAUGAAGGCCUUCAGGUUGUAAAGCACUUUUGGCAAGAAAGAAACGUCGUGGGUUAAUACCCCGCGAAACUGACGGUACCUGCUAAAUAUGCACCGGCUUACUACGUGCCAACAGCCGCGGUAAUACGUAUGGUGCAAGCGUUAAUCGGAAUUACUGGGCGUAAAGCGUGCGCAUGCAGUUCGGAAAGAAAGAUGUGAAAUCACGUAGCUUAACUUUGGAACUGCAUUUUUAACUACCGAGCUAUAGUGUGUCACAGGGAUGUGGAAUUCCGCGUGUAGCACUGAAAUGCGUACAUAUGCGGAGGAACACCGAUGGCGAAGGCGACCUCCUGGGAUGACACUGACGCUCAUGCACGAAAGCGUGUGGAGCAACAGGAUUAGAUACCCUGGUACUCCACGCCCUAAACGAUGUCAACUACCUGUUGAGGCCUUCGGGCCAUGUAACUCACUGACUCGUGAGUGACCGCCUGGGGAGUACAGCUCGCAGGAUUAAUACUCAAAGGGAUUGACAGCGUACCUGCACAGUCGGCUGGAUGAUGUGGAUCACUCGAUGCUAUCGCUGAAAAUCGUAAGCUACCCAUGACAUGUCUGCAUGCAUGGACGACAUUAGGAGUGCUCGCAUGAUAGCUGGAUCCAGUGCUGCAUGACUGUCGUCACUCAUGUCUGCAAUGUGGUUAGUCCACACAGGCAAGCUUGCAUUACUUGCUCGAUGAAUCGAUCACCUGCAGGGAA